GCCUUCAUAGCACACAUGUAUUCUCUUUAUAUUUAAGGGUCUAGAACAGAAAUCAGCAACAUUUGGCAUGCGGCCCGCCACGUCGAUCCCUGGUCUAGAAUGUCUCCUUUAGUUCCUAGGCUGUCAGGACAAGCUUCACUAAUGCUUUACCUCUAACAAUCACAUUUACAUUAGUUUAAUUAUCACUAACUCAAAGACUCUAAUGGGAAGAGAGGAGGAAAGAUUAAGGGCCAAAUAUAGAGGUUUUAAUAAAGAUAUUUAGAUCCUGUAUUUGCAACUGUCUUCAGCAACUUAAGCUGACUAGAGACAUACAAGUAAUAUACAAUUUCCACCCCCUUUUUAAAGCUGAGACUUUAAAAGCCAUAAGUACGCCAGCAUAACAAAGAGGUCAUCUAGCACUCCAUGGAUGCAAUAAGCACAGCUCUGGCUUUCAGAAACAGUUCACAGGAAUCCAGGUCCCUUCUUUAUUUUACAUUUUUAUUACAAUCCACCCACACCUCCAAGUAUUAACAGUGAACCCUCCUAUUCUUUUUUUCUUCCAUG